rnacentral:lncRNA from 1 species
CGCGGCGGGCGGUUCGCGGCUUCCGCAGCCUAAUGCUGUGGGUAGCGGUGCRGGUGCGCUGCUGGGGGAUCGCUCUUACUAAAGUGAGGGUUUGAUUUGGUUGAGCUCAGGAAUAUACAUACAUACAUAUAUAUAUAUAAAAUAUAUUUUUAUAUAUAUAUAUAUGUAUAUUUAAGACUGUAUAGUGUUUAAUCAGCAUGGGUUAAGAGCCGAACUAUGUAUUUGUAUGUGUAUGUGCCCAAAUCCAGCAACAGUGCAGUUUGUGUACUUUGGCACGCUGCCAACUGUACAUUGACCAACUGCCCAUCUAAGCAUGAAUGUAUGCUUCUGCGAAAUCCGUCCUUGCGUUUCGCGGAGGCAAACUCUGAUUAACAGCAAGCAGGAGUGUUGGCUGCAUAAAGACUGAAUGCUACUAAGAAAAAUCCAAAAUGCGGGGUGCAGCAAGUUCCUCCGGGCGCACUCAGACCCAGCUGGGUCUGUACACGGCCUCUGGAUCCUCCUGCUCUGCAGUCACAUGAGGACUCGCUGGGAGUGGACCCAGACAAGCCAGGGACAGCAUCCUAGAGGACUUCACACAGGACACAUUCUCCUUCGCCCAGGUGCUCCAGGAGGGCCAGCUCUGGGAACCCCAGCUGAGCUGCAUCCCUCUGGCAAAGGACGGAGAAACCCUUAAUCUGCACAUCCUGCUCAGCUCUAGGAGACAGAGGGCAAGCGCUCAGCGUUGUGAAGACCAGAGUCUKUCUGGGCAUGCUCUGAAGCCACGUUUUGGGGCUCCGGAAAACCAUACUGCCAAAAACUGAUGUGUCUAUGGUUUUCAGUUGCCCUUGGGAUUAGGAGUUUCGCUCAUCACAGCUGUAGAUUUCAAUGUCUGAAUCCUUUUAUGGUUCUAGUAGCAGCUACCAUAGGACUUGGAUAAAGGGAUAAGAAGCCUUAAUCUGUCACUGAGAUACGGCACUUGAAAAGAAGUCCUCUGCAACCUUUGGUAUGUAACAUAAUGGUAAAGAGACUGUAUUGCUAUCUGCAUCAUGACCUAUCAUGCACACGUAUCAUGCCUUAAUAAAGCUCAUUUUAAAAAUGAGUAUCA